rnacentral:rRNA from 1 species
UACGUAGGGUGCAGGCGUUAAUCGGAAUUACUGGGCGUAAAGCGUGCGCAGGCGGUUUGCUAAGACAGGUGUGAAAUCCCCGGGCUUAACCUGGGAACUGCAUUUGUGACUGCAUAGCUAGAGUUUGUCAGAGGGGGGGUGGAAUUCCACGUGUAGCAGUGAAAAUGCGUAGAUAUGUGGAGGGAACACCCGAUGGCGAAGGCAGCCCCCCUGGGACCUGACUGACGCUCAUGUACGAAAGCGUGGGGAGCAAACAGG